GACGAACGCUGGCGGCGUGCUUAACACAUGCAAGUCGAACGGAAAGGCCCUGCUUUUGUGGGGUGCUCGAGUGGCGAACGGGUGAGUAACACGUGAGUAACCUGCCCUUGACUUUAGGAUAACUUCAGGAAACUGGGGCUAAUACCGGAUAGGAGCUCCUGCUGCAUGGUGGGGGUUGGAAAGUUUCGGCGGUUGGGGAUGGACUCGCGGCUUAUCAGCUUGUUGGUGGGGUAGUGGCUUACCAAGGCUUUGACGGGUAGCCGGCCUGAGAGGGUGACCGGCCACAUUGGGACUGAGAUACGGCCCAGACUCCUACGGGAGGCAGCAGUGGGGAAUAUUGCACAAUGGGCGGAAGCCUGAUGCAGCAACGCCGCGUGCGGGAUGACGGCCUUCGGGUUGUAAACCGCUUUCGCCUGUGACGAAGCGUGAGUGACGGUAAUGGAUAAAGAAGCACCGGCUAACUACGUG
rnacentral:rRNA from 1 species